CGCGGGGUGGAGCAGCCUGGUAGCUCGUCGGGCUCAUAACCCGAAGGUCGUCGGUUCAAAUCCGCGUCCGGUGUGCA
rnacentral:tRNA from 1 species